rnacentral:rRNA from 1 species
GCGUCAGGAUGAACGCUAGCGGCAGGCCUAACACAUGCAAGUCGAGGGGUAACAGGGAGUAGCAAUACUCUGCUGACGACCGGCGCACGGGUGCGUAACGCGUAUGCAACCUACCUCAACAGGGGGAUAACCCAGAGAAAUCCGGACUAAUACCCGUAUAGUAGCGGGACCGCAUGAUCUUGCUACGAAAGCUUCGGUGGUUGGAGAUGGGCAUGCGUGACAUUAGCUAGUUGGCGGGCAACGGCCCACCAAGGCUGCGAUGUCUAGGGGAGCUGAGAGGCUAAUCCCCCACACUGGUACUGAGACACGGACCAGACUCCUACGGGAGGCAGCAGUGAGGAAUAUUGGCCAAUGGACGGAAGUCUGAACCAGCCAUGCCGCGUGAAAAGGAAGAAGGCCCUAUGGGUUGUAAACUUCUUUUGUGCGAGAGUAAUAAGGGCUUUGCGAAGUCCGAUGAGAGUAUCGUACGAAUAAGCAUCGGCUAACUCCGUGCCAGCAGCCGC